rnacentral:rRNA from 1 species
UAGAUACCCGGGUAGUCCACGCCGUAAACGAUGUCUACUAGCCGUUGGGAGACUUGAUUUCUUAGUGGCGCAGCUAACGCAAUAAGUAGACCGCCUGGGGAGUACGGCCGCAAGGUUAAAACUCAAAUGAAUUGACGGGGGCCCGCACAAGCGGUGGAGCAUGUGGUUUAAUUCGACGCAACGCGAAGAACCUUACCAGGCCUUGACAUCCUGAGAACUUUCUAGAAAUAGAUUGGUGCCUUCGGGAACUCAGUGACAGGUGCUGCAUGGCCGCCGUCAG